GGCUCAGAUUGAACGCUGGCGGCAUGCCUUACACAUGCAAGUCGAACGGCAGCGACGGGGGCAACCCUGGUGGCGAGUGGCGAACGGGUGAGUAAUGCAUCGGAACGUACCCGGAAGUGGGGGAUAACGUAGCGAAAGUUACGCUAAUACCGCAUAUUCUGUGAGCAGGAAAGCAGGGGAUCGCAAGACCUUGCGCUUUCGGAGCGGCCGAUGUCGGAUUAGCUAGUUGGUGAGGUAAAAGCUCACCAAGGCGACGAUCCGUAGCUGGUCUUAGAGGAUGAUCAGCCACACUGGGACUGAGACACGGCCCAGACUCCUACGGGAGGCAGCAGUGGGGAAUUUUGGACAAUGGGCGAAAGCCUGAUCCAGCCAUGCCGCGUGAGUGAAGAAGGCCUUCGGGUUGUAAAGCUCUUUCGGACAGAAAGAAAUCGCAUCGGCUAAUACUCGAUGUGGAUGACGGUACUGUCAUAAGAAGCACCGGCUAACUACGUG
rnacentral:rRNA from 1 species